UUGGCCAAAAUGGCCUUAAGGAGAACGUGGCAGCAUCAGUUGAGGAUCUGGUGAAAAGUGUAAAUGAGUUCAGGGGGCAAAAAGAUUUGCCGUGGGAGCUGCAGCUCGCAGUGGUUUAUGCCACUCAUGAUCUGGCACCCAGCAACCCCAAAGUCGCUCUGAACGCUUUGGAGUCGUGGA